AGUAAUGUCUGGGAAACUGCCUGAUGAGGGGGAUAACUACUGGAAACGGUAGCUAAUACCGCAUAACGUCGCAAGACCAAAGUGGGGGACCUUCGGGCCUCAUGCCAUCAGAUGUGCCCAGAUGGGAUUAGCUAGUAGGUGGGGUAACGGCUCACCUAGGCGACGAUCCCUAGCUGGUCUGAGAGGAUGACCAGCCACACUGGAACUGAGACACGGUCCAG
rnacentral:rRNA from 1 species